rnacentral:rRNA from 1 species
UACGUAGGGGGCGAGCGUUGUCCGGAAUCAUUGGGCGUAAAGCGCGCGUAGGCGGUUAUUUAAGUCAGACGUGAAAAACCUGGGCUUAACCCAGGUCUUGCGUUUGAAACUGGAUAGCUUGAGGGCAGGAGAGGAUAGUGGAAUUCCUAGUGUAGCGGUGAAAUGCGUAGAUAUUAGGAGGAACACCAGUGGCGAAGGCGACUAUCUGGCCUGUACCUGACGCUGAGGUGCGAAAGCUGGGGGAGCGAACGGGAUUAGAUACCCCGGUAGUCCCAGCCGUAAACGAUGGGCACUAGGUGUAGGAGGUAUCGACCCCUUCUGUGCCGUAGCUAACGCAAUAAGUGCCCCGCCUGGGGAGUACGGUCGCAAGACUGAA